rnacentral:rRNA from 1 species
CAUGUCCAACGUUAAUCGGGGCAGGGUGAGUCGACCCCUAAGGCGAGGCAGAAAGUCGUAGUCGAUGGGAAACAGGUUAAUAUUCAUGUACUUGGUGUUACUGCGAAGGGGGGACGGAGAAGGCUAUGUUAGCCGGGCGACGGUUGUCCAGGUUUAAGCAUGUAGGCUGAUUGUACAGGCAAAUCCGGAUAAUCAAGGCUGAGGUUUGAUGACGAGGCACUACGGUGCUGAAGUAACAAAUGCCC